rnacentral:tRNA from 1 species
ACCUAGCUGGCUCAGUCAGUGGAGCAUGAGACUCUUGAUCUCAGGGUUGUAGGUUCAAGCCCCAUGUUGGGUG